rnacentral:rRNA from 1 species
AGUCACUGACAUUAGAUACCCGUGUAGUCCAGGGUGUAAACGCUGCAGACUUGGUGUUGGAAGUCCUUGGGGCAUUCAGUGCCGGAGAGAAGUUGUUAAGUCUGCUACUUGGGAGUACGUCCGCAAGGAUGAAACUUAAAGGAAUUGCGGGGAGCACAACAACGGGUGGAGCCUGCGGUUUAAUUGGACUCAACGCCGGACAACUCACCGGGACGACAGCAAUAUGUAGGCCAGGCUGAAGACCUUGCCUGAAUCGCUG